AUCAAACUUGGCUCUGAUUUAAUAAUAUGGCAUAAACUAAAAAAUACACAUGGUUUUUUUUGAGAGAGACGAGGUAAAAAAAAAAUAAUUUUAAAUCAAAAAUUUCUAAUUUGUUGUUUUUAUAAGAUAUUAUAGGAAUAAAGAAUGUCUUGAAAAGUCCCGUUAACACCAGUGUUGAAGGUUAAUUAUAGGGUGAAAACCUGUAUUAAUUUAGUAAAAUAAAUUUGGUUAAUUUGGUGCCAGCAUCCGCGGUUACACCAAGAAGUUAAGUCAUAUAUAAAGGGUAAAAAGACAGUUAAAUUACAAAUAGAUUAUAUAACUUUUUGUAUAGAGGUAAAAUUCAAGUACAAAUUUCUAACCUUAUAAUAAUCUACAAUAUUGAAGCUGUGAAAGCCUCGAGGGAAACUGGGAUUAGAUACCCCACUAUUCUUGGCCUUAAAUUAAUGUAUAGCACAUUUACCAGAGUACUAUGAAUAAAAUAAAAUUUAAAACUCAAAGGGCUUGGCGGUGUUUUAGACCCUUCAGGGGAACCUGUCUCAUAAUCGAUAAUCCACGAUAGACCUGACCUUUUUUUGUUUUCAGCUUGUAUACCGUUGUCGUCAGGUAACUUUUUAGAAAUUAGAAGUUAGCUAUAAGCUCUGUAUACUAAAACGUCAAAUCAAGGUGCAGCCCAUAAGAAGGAGAGGAUGGGUUACAAUUCUAGAUUUAUAAUACGGAAAGCAUUAGGAAUUAAAUGCUUUGAAGGAGGACUUGAAAGUAAAAUAGAUUAUAUAAAUAUUUUGAAUAAGGCUCUGAAACGUGCACAAAUCGCCCGUCGCUCUUGUUGGAAAAUAAGAUAAGUCGUAACAUAGUAGGGGUAAUGGAAAUUGUUCCUGAACUAAA
rnacentral:ncRNA from 1 species